AGGUGGAAGUCAUAGCUCCUGCUGUAAUAGGUACAACCAAUGUGUUAAAAGCUUGCUAUGAAGCAAAAGUUAAGCGAGUUGUGGUGGUGUCUUCAUGUGGAGCUGUGUAUGCUAAUCCUAUUUAUCCGAAGGGUAAGGUGUUUGAUGAAGACUGCUGGUCAGAUGAGGAUUACUGCAGGAAGAAGGAGGAUUGGUAUUUAGUUUCCAAAACACUGUCGGAACGAGAGGCUCUUGCUUUUGCAG